rnacentral:misc_RNA from 1 species
GUUACGCGCAAAGGGGAGUAACUUCCUUGCCGGCCGAUCGUCAUUACGAUGCGUGAAAAACCGCAUCCGGUCGCCGGGCAACAGAUUCUUGUUGUAAGUGAGACCUUGCCGGAAGG